rnacentral:rRNA from 1 species
GUUCCCUCCUCCUCUUUCCUCCCUUCAGCCCGAGUGGUGACCGAUCUUAUUGGGCCUAAAGCGUCCGUAGCUGGCUAAGCAAGUCCGUCGGGAAAUCCACUCGCCCAACGAGUGGGCGUCCGACGGAAACUGCAUAGCUUGGGACCGGAAGGCUCGAAGGGUACGUGCGGGGUAGGAGUGAAAUCCCAUAAUCCCGCACGGACCACCGAUGGCGAAAGCACUUCGAGAAAACGGAUCCGACAGUGAGGUACGAAAGCCAGGGUCUCCAACCGGAUUAGAUACCCGUGUAGUCC